UCUGAGGAGGAAAAAAAGAAAAAGGAUGUUACAUCAACUCCAGUUAGCCGCCAUGUUCCUCAUUCAGAAUGUUCGGUGGAAAGGAUGGCAGGAAGGAAGAUAAAAGGAACAAUUAAGUCCCCAGAAAGGAAUCUCGUGGCAAAGUCUGUAGUACAAAACAGAAGAACUUACUAAUUAAGAGCAUUCCCAUCACAAGCAAGCAAGCACAAAAUGAUGUAAAAUAAUCUUGAGAGGCAUUAGGAGGAGACAAGAUUUGAGCUGGUUUUUGAGGGGGAGGAGGACUCCCUAAGGUGUAAAGUAACUAAUGGCAGAGGCUAGCCCCUGUCGGAGCCUGACCAGCAGCUUCAGAGCCCUUCCUUCUCUCACAGUUCACAAAGACCAGCAGGCAAGAGCACGGGUGUGCACCUCAGACAGACGUUUCCGUCUGGCUCAUUAUGAACUCAGGUAAGUCGUUAACCUCUCUAGCUACCAAUAAAAUCGUAAGGGAAUUCAAUUCACGUAAUAUGUCUGGCACAUAAUAUCAGUCGGCCCAGUGUCACGUUACCAGUCAGCAUUUACUUUCCCCUGGGUGGUAAAACUGAAGAGGGUAGUUUGCAAAGACAUUUUACACAGGCAGGCUAGAAAUAAUGUUAUAUUUUCCUUUUACCUGCAAUCUUUAAGGAUAAACUCAUUCUUACUUAGCAUUAUUUUAGAACAAGGGCAGGCCAUACAGCCCCUGUCCUAACUAUGUCUCAACUCUGUUGCUGUAUGUAAACGAAUGUGGCUAUUUGCAAAGGGUGGUGGCUGGAUUGGGCCUGAGGACCUAGUCUGCUGACCUCCAUUUUCAGAGAGUGUAUAAGCCUAAAUGUUUGGUGGGAAGGAAUAUGCUAUUGAUAAGGAAUUUAAAAAGUUUAAAUAGCUGGGGCUGACAGUAGUAAAGCCAGCAUCUAGAGUCUUGGUUAUAAGCUUCUUAGAAUAUGAACAAGACAAUUAAAUUAUAGUUACAAAACAAAGCCUGCCUGGGAGUCAGAUCUUGCCUAUCAGUCCUAACAGGGUGACCCUUGGGCACAUUUACCUCUGGGCUCUAAAGACUAUAUGGAAAUUCUAUGGUUAAGUCCUAACACUUAAGGGCUGAUGCUCAGAAGACCGAAGGAAUCUGCCAUAUUGGCCAACCGGCUGCCAGCACAGCAGGUCCACGCUCCAGAAGCAGCACGGUCAGGGACUGUUUGGCCAAACACCGUACUUCAAGAGGUGUUAAGUCCUGACUCUCCAUUCAAGAUUUAAAUAGAGGAUGGGACACCUGGGUGGUUCAGUCGGUUAAGCAUCCGAGUUCGGCUCGGGUCAUGAUCUCAUGGUUCGUGGCCAGGAGCCUGCUUCAGAUCCUGUGUCUCCCUCUCUCUUUGCCCACCUCCCACUUGUGCUCGCUCUCAAAAAUAAACAUUAAAAGAUUAAAUCCAUCAUCUAAGUUCAUAAGUCAUCCAGAGACUGCUAUAAACAUCUGAAGUUAUUUUUUACCAAGAUUUUACUUUUUUUUUUUUUCCCCCGGUAAUCUCUAUACCCAACAUGGGGCUUGAACUCACGACCCCAAGAUGAAGAGUUACAUGCUCUACCUCCUAAGCCAGCCAGGUGCCCCUAGACAUCUAAUUUGAUUUGAUAAAACAUUCUGAGCACAGUUGUUGGAAACUGCAAAAUCAGCAUGUGUCAACUAAAAGUCUUGUGCCUUUUACUUUAGAGACUGAACUUCCUUCCUGCUUCAAGGAACUGGUGUAAGUGAGGAUGCAUUUCACUAUCUUGCAGAAGAGCUCCUGACCGACAUGGAUUUAGAAUUUACAAGUGUGUAUACCGUAUUUAGAAGCAAAAGUAUUACAUUUCUUUCAUCAGAAGUC